rnacentral:rRNA from 1 species
AUUGAACGCUGGCGGCAGGCCUAACACAUGCAAGUCGAACGAGUGGCGGACGGGUGAGUAAUGUCCGGGAAACUGCCUGAUGGAGGGGGAUAACUACUGGAAACGGUAGCUAAUACCGCAUACCAUCGGAUGUGCCCAGAUGGGUUUAGCUAGUAGGUGGGGUAAUGGCUCACCUAGGCGGCGAUCCCUAGCUGAUCUGAGAGGAUGACCCACAAAACUGGAACUGAGACACGGCACAGACUCCUGCGGGAGGCAGGAGUGGGGAAUAUUGCACAAAUGGCGAAAGCCUGAUGCAGCAAUGCCGCGUGUAUGAAGAAGGCCUUCAGGUUGUAAAGUGCUUUCAGCGGGGAGGCGUUGCCCGAGGAAGAAGCACCGGCUAACUCCGUGCCAGCAGCCGCGGUAAUUC